UGUUUCCCUUCCUCGAUUCCAACUUUUCCCCAACCUAGCGCUAGCUGAAGGCUCUGGCGGCGGCGAGCGAUUCUUGGUCCGGCGGCGGCGGCCGGCUCUCCUGCCUCUCCCUCGGUCCCUCCGCUCCCCUCCCCUCCCCUCCAUCCGGCCAUCUCACUCCCCUGCCCUCGGCCUCCGGCGCCCAGCCCUCUCCUCCGCGGCUCCCCCAGGCGCCAGGCCACCAGUCCGCCUCCGGCCUCCCGAGCGCGGCGGCAGCCGGCAGCGCCCUCCAGGCUCCAGCCACCGUCCUCGGGCCUCCCCGGCGCGGCGGCAGCAACAUCCAGCAGUCCGGCCUCCGUUCCUCAACAGCCACAAUACCCGGACGCCGGUUGGCCCCGCCAAAACGCAGCUCCCCGCCAACGCCCCUCUCUCUCAGCUGCCGACCUCGGCAACGAGCUCACCCACACGCCUUUGCUGCCAGAAGAUUGCCCGCAGGUUGUUGUUUUCUUUUUUUAUAUCUCUGCAUCAUGUGGAACAUAGCUCGAAUUGAGAUAUAUCACUUGUGUUUUCCCUUUCUAUCUUACUGUGAUGCACUGUAUUAUUGCAAUUUGAAAAUUGUUGUUAAAAAUCGGUGAACCUUUUUGGUGGUUGAGUAACAAUUGUUGUUAAAAACAGUGGUACUGUUGAUUGGAUGGCGCUCAUUUAUGACAUAAUAUUCUUAAGUCGAUCUGGUUAGGGGGAACUGCUUAUGAAUGCCAGAGAAGAAUAUUCAGCAGUGUGAUGCAAAAUUUGAAUUACCUAAGUUGUGUGUCAUCUCUACUUUUCUUGAUUUAUCAAAGCGAAACUAGUGGAUAUUACUUACUCCCUCCGUUUGGAAUUACUCGUCCAAGAAAUGAAUGUAUCUAGAUGUAUUUUAGUUGUAGAUACAUCCAUUUUUGUGACAAGUAAUUCCGAACAGAGGGAGUAGAUUUUUAGUAACUAGUUACACCAGCUAGCCUUCUGCUGUUUGUCACUUGAAUGCAGAAAAAAAUCAAGCAUUGGAGACAUCCAUUUUUUGUCAUCGAUGAAAACUUCUUUAUGUACUUCACAUAAAUUCUUCUAGUAAAGACACUUCUCGAUUUAUGUUUUGUAAUGUAAGGUGAAUGAUUGCGAUAAAUCAUAUUAUACAAUUUGAACCUAAGUAUCGAAUGUAUAGUUUAAAUAUGCUUGCCCGUCUUGUGGUCCUUUCACAAGAUCAUAUUAGCUAAAUAAGAGUAAGAAAUUUUGUUAUAUGGGUCAUCGCCGAUGGCUACCACAGAAUCAUGUAUUUCGGAGACGAAAGAAGGAGUUUGAUAACACCGAAGAGAUGGAACUUGCACCUAUAACAAUGAGUGGUAGCUCAGCUUUGAGGAUGUUGCAGGGCAGAGUGUUUGUCUUAGGAAAAAAGGUUGUUGUGGCAAAGAAAGGGAAAGGGAAAAAGAAGGGCAAAGACAGUGAAAAAGGAACUGAAGGUCCUGAAAAACAGAAGCGUAAAAGAGCGCCUAACAAGAAAUCAGGUAACGUCGCACGUAAACCUGAAAAGAAGCCUGAGGAUUGUUUCAAAAAGAAGUCGAUAUUCUUUGAUUUGGAAUACUGGGAGCACAACAAGUUAAGGCACAAUCUAGAUGUCAUGCAUAUUGAGAAAAAUGUCUUUGAAAAUUUAAUUGGAACCUUACUGGAUAUUGAUUCUAAAACAAAGGAUGGCCUUAAUGCAUGACUUGACUUGGGAGAAAUUGGAAUUCGAUCUAGCCUUCAACCUCAUGAAGGUGAUAAGGGUAAAACUGAAUUGCCGCAUGCACCUUUUAAUAUGUAUAAAGAAAAGAAGGAGAUUCUUUGUACAGUGAUUAAGAAUUGUAGGACACCUGAUGGUUGUGCAUCAAACUUUUCAAGGUGUGUGAACAUGAAAGAAUUGACAUUGACUGGCCUCAAAAGCCACGACUGCCAUGUUAUUCUACAAGACAUCCUUCCUGUGGCACUUUUACACUGUUAUCCCAGUAAAGAUGUCAUGAUAUUAGUUGUUGAGCUGGCUAAUUUCUUCAAGAAACUAUGCUCCAAAGUGUUAGAUUUCUCUGAGCUUGACAAACUGCAAGAGAGUAUUGUGAAGACACUUUGUAAUAUGGAAAAGGUUUUUCUUCCAUCAUUUUUUACUGUCAUGGUACAUUUAAUGGUGCAUUUAGUUGAAGAAGCUAAACUUGGUGGCCCGGUGCAUUACAGGUGGAUGUACCCUCUAGAGAGAUCAUUUGUUUGGCUAAAGUCACUUGUGCGCAAUAGAGCUUAUCCUGAAGGUUCUAUUGCUGAAGGAUAUACUGUUGAAGAAUGCUUGACCUUUUGUUCAAGAUUUCUAGAAGGAACCACACGUUUCACAAGAACAUCUAGGAACCCUGAUCCUUCAGAUAAUACAAAGGGCAUGUACAUGUUUGAUAGUGUUGGUGAGCCAAUUGGAAAGGCUGUCACUAUAGGCCAAUUGGACGAUCGGCUUCUAGUUCAAGCACAUCGAUGUGUCUUGCGACACUGAUGAGCUUGAUGAUCUCCGUAGAGAAUUUGUGGACCAAGAGAAGAGGAAACCGGGUAACUUAAAUUUGACGGACGAUGACAAUGAGGAUUUGAUUAGUAGACACUUUGCUGACUGGUUGGAACAAAAGGUUAUACUAGAUGAUGGAUCGGAUAUCACAGAAAAGAUAAGAGCAUUAGCCGCAAAACCAAGCAAAUGCGGGGUGCGCUAUAGUGGCUAUAUAAUUAAGGGUUUCAGGUUUCAUACUAUCAGUCGCAAGACAGGACGCGUGACACAAAAUAGUGGUGUCGUGAACCUUGCUGAAAAUGGUGUGUCCUAUUACGGUCGGUUAUCUGACAUCUUUGAAUUGUCAUACAAAGAUUACAAGGUGGUCUUCUUUACAUGUGAUUGGUAUGAUGUUCAUCACAAAGCUGGUAUUAUAAGAGAUGAGUUUGGAUUCACUCAUGUGAAUUUCUCCCGAAAAAUACAUACAGGGGAGAAGUUAGAGGAUGAUCCUUUUGUAUUUUCUUCCCAAGUGGACCAGGUCUUCUAUAUUCAAAAUCCGAGAAGUGAGAAUUGGAAUACCAUGGUGAAAUUCAAACCUCGUGAUAUUUUUGACAUGGGUGGAGAACCAUCUUCAGAUGAAACAGAGUAGUCUUUGUGCUUUUAGCUUGUUACUGCAGCUAAGAUAUAGGUUGAGCACUUGUCAUCCAUGCUCCUAGGUAGAAUUACUCCAACAUAAUUAUUCCAGCUGGGUGGAUCUUCUUCAGAAUGUAUUGUUCCCUAUGUGACUCUGUGAUGAACGAGCCUAUGGUCUUUUUUUUUAAUGUGUAUGUUCCCUUUUGUUAUGAAUGAACAGUUGUAUGGCUAUCCGUUUAGUUCUUUGAA